rnacentral:rRNA from 1 species
UACGUAGGGGGCGAGCGUUAUCCGGAAUUACUGGGCGUAAAGCGCACGUAGGCGGUCUUUUAAGUCGGGGGUGAAAUCCUGGAGCUCAACUCCAGAACUGCCUUCGAUACUGGAAGACUCGAGUCCGGGAGAGGUGAGUGGAACUGCGAGUGUAGAGGUGAAAUUCGUAGAUAUUCGCAAGAACACCAGUGGCGAAGGCGGCUCACUGGCCCGAUACUGACGCUGAGGAGCGAAAGCGUGGGGAGCGAACAGG